rnacentral:rRNA from 1 species
UACGUGAGGGGCGAACGUUGUUCGGUGUCACUGGGCUUAAAGGGUGCGUAGGUGGUUGCGUAAGUAACGUGUGAAAUCCCUCGGCUUACCCGGGGAAUUGCGCGUUAUACUGCGCGACUUGAGGAUUUCAGGGGAAUGGGGAACUCCAGGUGUAGCGGUGAAAUGCGCAGAUAUCUGGGGGAAGGCCGGCGGCGAAGGCGCCAUUCUGGGAAAUUCCUGACACUGAGGCACGAAAGCGUGGGGAGCAAACAGG